AUGGCCGCCUCCCGCAAGCGUGCCUUCGCCUCCGUCGUUUUCACGGCGAUCGCUUCCUGCGCAGCAGCGCAGACGCCGGGAGGCCCGGGAUCGGACAGUUCAAUGAGUUUCUCCGACGUGAUGGCCAUCUCCUUCUUCAUGGCCAUUUUCUUCCCCGUCUUCGUCGUCCUCCUCGCGUUUGCCUGCCUCCGCCUGUACCGGCCGCCAGACGACCCCCCGGCCGCCGAGAACUCUUCGGCGGAGUGGGCGCACUCGCACCACAAGGAGGGCCUGGACGCCGCCGAGAUCGCGGCGCUGCCGCUAGUGUCCUACCGUGACGUCAAGCAGCACCGGAUCAGCGACGGCCGUGUCGACCCGCUGGAGUGCGCGGUUUGCCUCCUGGAGUUCGACGACGACGACAGCCUGCGCCUCCUCCCGACGUGCCCGCACGCGUUCCACCCGCAGUGCAUCGGCCUCUGGCUCGAGAAGCACGUCACGUGCCCGCUCUGCCGCGCCAGCGUCCUCGACCCGCCGCCGCCUCGAGUGCCAGAUCAGGAGCUGGAAACGCCGGUGCCACCCGGCUCGCCGCCUGUUCACGAUCACCAUACGGUGGUGCUAAUCGAAGACGACCCCGGCCGCGGCGAGGAGGAGGAAGACAGGACCAGGAUCCUCGCGAGGACGCGGCGCGAGGCCGGGCGCGAGGCGCUGCCGCGGUCCAACUCGACGGGGCACGAGCGCGCCGGCGGGAUGGAGCGCUUCCGGCUGCGGCUGCCGGAGCACGUUCGCCUCGAGAUCCUGAUGUCGCACAGGCUGAGGCACGUGACGAGCGCGGUCGCGUCCGUGCGCGUGAGGGAGGGGAGCGCCCACGACCCAGCUGCCGGCGGGAAUUCUGUGCGGAGCGCCGUGGCGAGGCUCUUCUCACUUUUCGCGCCCGGGGAUGGGUGGAGCGGCGACGUCGAGGACAAGUCCGGGGGCUCGUCUCGCUGGCGGCGCGAUGACUCUGCGCGGGGAGCAGGAGAAGACAAGAGAAACGAUUGA
rnacentral:rRNA from 1 species